ACCAGAGUCACUGAUGCUUUGCUUCAACAGCAGCUCAACCUUGGUGGCCCCAGCUGGGCAGCCAUUGGAGGAACUGGCUAUGCUCAGAGCUGCUGAAGUGGGUCCCAGGAGUGUGCUGGCGAUCUAGAAGGGUGGAUGAAAGCAGAGGAGAGAGGAACAGCCUGUGCUGUGGGUACGAGCCCAAUUUUCCCUUCAGCCUGGCGUGGCCUAGGAAACCCCACAUUAACUGUGGUAAACAAAUCAUUAGGAACCCAUCAGGCCUGGCCCCACCUCCUUCUGCAGAUGCCCGGGCAAGCAAGCCAGUGUCAUUUAAAACAGCUUUCUGAGUUUUGAUCAGGGGUUUUGAAGCUGAGAGUCAGGUGAAGCAGC
rnacentral:lncRNA from 1 species